rnacentral:rRNA from 1 species
UGGGGAAUAUUGCACAAUGGGCGCAAGCCUGAUGCAGCAACGCCGCGUGAACGAUGAAGGUCUUCGGAUCGUAAAGUUCUGUUGCAGGGGAAGAUAAUGACGGUACCCUGUGAGGAAGCCCCGGCUAACUACGUGCCAGCAGCCGCGGUAAUACGUAGGGGGCUAGCGUUAUCCGGAUUUACUGGGCGUAAAGGGCGCGUAGGUGGUCUUUCAAGUCGGUGGUUAAAGGCUACGGCUCAACCGUAGUUAGCCUCCGAAACUGGAAGACUUGAGUGCAGGAGAGGAAGGUGGAAUUCCCAGUGUAGCGGUGAAAUGCGUAGAUAUUGGGAGGAACACCAGUAGCGAAGGCGGCUUUCUGGACUGCAACUGACACUGAGGCACGAAAGCGUGGGUAGCAAACAGG